rnacentral:misc_RNA from 1 species
GAUGAAGAACGUAGCGAAAUGCGAUAAGUAAUGUGAAUUGCAGAAUUCAGUGAAUCAUCGAAUCUUUGAACGCACCUUGCACCCUUUGGCAUUCUGAAGGGUAUGCUCGUUUGAGUGUCAUUGUACUCUCACACUCCCGAUCUUUGCAUUGGGAGCAGUGGACUUGGGUUUGCUGCUUCACCGUCGCUUACCUCAAAUAGGUUAGUGCAACUCUUGGUUGGACAUAGUACGGCGUGAUAAGUGUUCUUCGCCGGUGCCUCGCAAAGAGGGUGGCCGAUCGGGAUGUUGUGCUCCAAACCGUCUUCGGACAAUCUCUGACGACUUGACCUCAAAUCGAGUAAGACUACCCGCUGAACUUAAGCAUAUCAAUAAGCGGAGA